GUACUCACUUCAACAGCACAUAUAUUAAAAUUGGAAUACUAUAGAAAUGAUUAGCAUGGAUCCUGCACAAGAAUGACAUGCAAAUUUAUGAAGUGUUCCAUAUUCUC
rnacentral:snRNA from 1 species